rnacentral:misc_RNA from 1 species
GUGAAUCAUCGAAUUUUUGAACGCAAAUUGCACUCUCUUGUAUUCCGGGGAGUAUGCUUGCUUGAUGGUUAGUUUGUUACAAGCGUAAAAAGAGAUUUUUACGGUGCUGUAUUUUCCAAAAGUUAUAUUUUUGGUAAUCUAAAAUUUAUCAUAACAAUAGGUCAUUUUAGAAAUGUUUUUUUUUGAUUCAUUAACAAUUAUUACCAAAUUAGUGACU